CUAUCUCCAGGAAGCGUUCUGGGCUUUUCCUGUUGUGCAGUGUGGAAGUGCUCUAUCUUCAUUCAUAUCAAGGAAAGUCAAAGGACAAACUAAAGCCGGCAGCGUCUUUCUGGCUUCCUAGUCAGGCUGUUCGGUAGCGGAGUGUCACCCUGAUUUCCAGCCCCGCAGCACACACAGUGAGAGCCUGCCUGGCGUGAUUCAGAGGCAACGUAUUUCCCAAGGUGGCUGUGAAGGAACCAGGGGGAUAAACACAGCCCGUGAACCGCACGCCAGAGGACAGGUCCGGCUGCCUGCCGCGGAGUCGUCACGGCGUGUCGCGUCUGAGCGCUUCUCCAAAGCACCCAAGUGGCACCCGGGGUGACAGUUACAUCAUCUUGAGUACAGUUCUCUCAAGGAAAAAGCAAGCCCAGCAUCUUCUGCCAUGGCAACCCUGGCUUGGAGCCUCCAUAAGAGAGAAGGCCCUAAGAAUAAUACCAUUUUCUUGCUCUAAGUUGCUCUUACGGGAAAGAAGUGAUAAUAUUCUUCCUAAACGCCAUCAUUCGUGCAUCCUUCCCACCUAUAUGUGUCACCGGAUCAUUCUCCGCCUGGGCGGGGCCGUCCUGUGCACUGCAGAAUGCUGAGCAGUGUCCUUGGCUUCGACCGACCACAUGCCAGGAGCACCCCAAUUUCUGCCAUCGGGUGAUUGACUUCACUGUUGCAUUUGAUUUUUUAUGUAUCUUUUAAAAGGACCCAAUAGGGCCAGGCACAGUGGCUCACACUUGUAAUCCCAGCACUUUGGGAGGCUGAGGUCGGUGGAUUGCUUGAGCCCAGGAGGAGUUCAAGACCAGCCUGGGCAACAUAGUGAAACCCCAACUCUACAAAAAACAAAUGUUUUAUUUUUAUUUAUUUUAGAUGGAGUUUCACUCUUGUUGCCCAGGCUGGAGUGCAGUGGCGCAAUCUCGGCUCACUGCAACUUCUGCCUCCCGGGUUCAAGCGAUUCUCCUGCCUCAGCCUCCUGAGUAUCUGGGAUUACAGGCAUGCGCCACCACACCCAGCUAAUUUUGUAUUUUUAGUAGAGAUGGCGUUUCUCCAUGUUGGUCAGGCUGGUCUCAAACUCCCGACCUCAGGUGAUCUGCCUGCCUCGGCCUCCCAGAGUGUUGGGAUUACAGGCGUGAGCCACCACGCCCAGCCGGGUUUAUAGUUUUAUAACCCUUAUGACAAAUCUCAUAGUAUUCUGCAGGGAUAAGCAUGAAACCACUCGUUCAAUAAGUGCAAACAAAAACGCCAACAAUUCUUAAGACAUUUCUAAUCUUAUUUUACCAAUAAUUUUAAAGCCAGCUUAUGUAUUAAAGAUUUAUAACUACUUUUAUUAACACGUUUAAAAUUCUAUGCAGCUUAAAGCAUUUAUAAUGGAUAAAACUGCCAAUACUGAGUGCCUGACAUAAUAUUUGAAAGGUGGCAGGCAUUCAACCAUGGUCACUGAAUGAGAGAUGUAGGGAAGAUGAUGGCAGGGAGGUUUUUAGAUAUCAACACCCUGAUAGUUCUCAUUUUAACCACCUGUAAGUGCACAUACAAGUCAACGGCACUG
rnacentral:lncRNA from 1 species